rnacentral:miRNA from 1 species
CUUUUAACAGUAGAAUUUGAUGGA